UACGUAGGGUCCGAGCGUUGUCCGGAAUUAUUGGGCGUAAAGGGCUCGUAGGCGGUUUGUCACGUCGGGAGUGAAAUCUUACAGCUUAACUGUGAACUUGCUUUCGAUACGGGCAGACUUGAGGCAUUCAGGGGAGAACGGAAUUCCUGGUGUAGCGGUGAAAUGCGUAGAUAUCUGGAGGAACACCGGUGGCGAAGGCGGCAUCCUGGACCAAUUCUGACGCUGAGUGAGCGAAAGCCAGGGGAGCAAAGC
rnacentral:rRNA from 1 species